UACGAAGGGGGCUAGCGUUGCUCGGAAUUACUGGGCGUAAAGGGAGCGUAGGCGGGUUAUUAAGUUGGAGGUGAAAGCCCAGGGCUCAACCUUGGAAUUGCCUUCAAAACUGAUAACCUAGAGGAUGAUAGAGGUAAGUGGAACUCCGAGUGUAGAGGUGAAAUUCGUAGAUAUUCGGAAGAACACCAGUGGCGAAGGCGACUUACUGGAUCAUUACUGACGCUGAGGCUCGAAAGCGUGGGGAGCAAACAGG
rnacentral:rRNA from 1 species